rnacentral:rRNA from 1 species
UCAGUUGUGAAAGUUUGCGGCUCAACCGUAAAAUUGCAGUUGAUACUGGGUGUCUUGAGUACAGUAGAGGCAGGCGGAAUUCGUGGUGUAGCGGUGAAAUGCUUAGAUAUCACGAAGAACUCCGAUUGCGAAGGCAGCUUGCUGGACUGUAACUGACGCUGAUGCUCGAAAGUGUGGGUAUCAAACAGGAUUAGAUACCCUGGUAGUCCACACAGUAAACGAUGAAUACUCGCUGUUUGCGAUAUACAGUAAGCGGCCAAGCGAAAGCGUUAAGUAUUCCACCUGGGGAGUACGCCGGCAACGGUGAAACUCAAAGGAAUUGACGGGGGCCCGCACAAGCGGAGGAACAUGUGGUUUAAUUCGAUGAUACGCGAGGAACCUUACCCGGGCUUGAAUUGCAACUGAAUGAUGUGGAGACAUGUCAGCCGCAAGGCAGUUGUGAAGGUGCUGCAUGGUUGUCGUCAGCUCGCGCCGUGAGGUGUCGGCUUAAG